rnacentral:rRNA from 1 species
GACGAACCGUGCGAACGUUAUUCGGAAUCACUGGGCUUAAAGCGCGUGUAGGCGGGCCGCCACGUCGGCUGCUGAAAUCCCCCGGCUCAACCGGGGAACGGGCACCGAUACGAGCGGCCUGGAGGGGGUAGGGGGUCUGGAACUUCCGGUGGAGCGGUGAAAUGCGUUGAGAUCGGAAGGAACACCUGUGGCGAAAGCGGCUCACUGGACCAUUACUGACGCUGAGGCGGCGAAAGCGUGGGGAGCGAACAGG